CGGGUGGCGCGGCGGGGCCGUAGAAGCGGUGGUAUUCCCGUGGGGCCGCCCACUCGCCCGCAUGCAGGCUCCCGGGCCGGCUGCGGAAGCUGUGGGCCUGGACUGGGGGUAGCAGCAGAGGGGCGGCCAGGUAGGUGCAGAUGGGGUCUUGCUCUGUUGUCUAGGCUGGAGUGCAGCGGCAUGAUCUCGGCACACUGCAGCCACCGUCUUCCAGGUUCAAGCGAUUCUCCCACCUCAGCCUCCCGAGGAGCUGGGAUUACAGGAGUUCAGUGGCAUGACCAGGGCUCACUGCAACCUUGAUCUGGGCUCAAGUGAUCCUCCUACCUCAGCUUCCUGAGUAGCUAGGACCACAGGUGUGCACCAACCACACCCGACUAAUUUUUGUAGAGAUGAGAUCCCACUAUGUUACCCAGGCUGGUCUUGAACUCCUGGGCUCAGGUGAUCAUCCUGCCUUGGCUUCCCAAAGUACUGGGAUUAUAGGCUUGAGCCACCGUGCCUGGCCUGUGAUCAGAAUUCUCAUUUUUUUAGUCACUAAAAAUGCUGGGGGGCACUCCAUUCUCCAUUAUGUGAUUAGUUCACAUUGCAUGCUUGUAUCAAAACAUCAUAUAUACCCCACAAAUAUAUACAAAAAACUUUAAAAUUUUAAGUAUUAAUUGCUCAGGAAAAAAUUAAAAUGCUGGGGUGCUGAAAUCUCAAGGGCCCCAUUACAAAACUCCUUAGGAACCUCGCCCUCUCUCUGCUGUAAGGACUGGUUCCAGAAUGAGAGAAUUUAAAAGACAUUCCCCCCCCAAAAUGUUCAUAAUGUCACCCCGGAAACCUGCGAAUAUGUUAUAUUACAUGACCAGGGAGAAGUAAGGUUGCAGAUGGCAGUAAGGUUGCUAAUGGGCUGACCUUAAGAUAAGGAGAUGAUCCUGGAUUAUCUGGGUGGACCCAAUGUAAUCACAAGGGUCCUUAACUGUGGAAUAGUGAGGUGGCUGAGUCAGAGGCAGAGUGAUGCAAUGACUGAAAGACUUAACCAGCCAUCACCGGCUUUGAAUACGGAAGACGGUCAUGAGCCAGGGAAUGCAGGCAGGCUCUGGGAGCUGAAAAAAGCAAGAAAAUGGAUUCUCCCCUGGAGCCUCCAGAAGGGAUGCGGUCCUGCCAACCCCUUGUCAGUGAGCCAUUUCAGAUUUCUGACUUCCAGGACUGUAAGAAAAUAAACUUGUCUUGUUUUCAG
rnacentral:lncRNA from 1 species